CAAGUAUAUCCACCAAGCGGCUUUCGGCUCCAGCAAUCAGUCUCUAGUCAUCGGUAAUAAAUCCCUCCAAUAACGAGACCAAGCUCCGCAUUGAGGGUCAAACAGGAUCUGGCUUUACUGUGGGCUACCCGCCCGCAUUUAUGCAGGUCUCCCACUUGGUGGACACUCCCCUAGGGGACCAAAUGGGAGACUGUAAUGACAGAUGUACAUGGGGACAUUUCAGACAUACAGAUACAAACUUUUCCC